rnacentral:lncRNA from 1 species
ACUUUCUUCUUCUUCAAUUUGUUCUUGUUUUUGCUCCCUAAUACUAUGAUUUGUCUUCUUGAGUCUAAAGUGUUGUACUUUCAAAUCUUCUAUGCUCAGAUUUCGUAAAGUUUUUGCCUUUUUUUGGUAACUAGUGAAAAUUCAAAAUUGGGAGAAUGUUGUGUAGUUGCUGUUUGAAAUUGAGUUGUUUUGAUGAUAUUUGGGAACUUUUUUGCAGACGUCCAAGGCACAUAGCUUGACAUGUAUGGAUCUUUAUGUGUUUGCAACGCCAUAUAGGAUCACUUGGGACUACUAUUUCUCUGCUCGAGAUCAUACUUUGAACUUUGAUUCUUGGGAAGAGAAAGCUGAACUGGAAUAUGUAGGUUUUUGUUUUAGUUAAUGUUCUUUAUAUCGUCUUUAGAGGGUUUGUGGUGUUUGUUUUCGUGGUGAUUUAUUAUGUGGUACUUCGAUGAGUAGGUGAAGGAGCAUGGAGUUUCAGUGUUUCUAAUGCCAUCAGGAAUGCUUGGGACGUUGCUUUCGUUGAUUGAUGUGUUACCUCUUUUCUCCAAUACUGC